AAGUUUGAUCGCGGCUCAGAACGAACGCUGGCGGCAUGCCUAACACAUGCAAGUCGAACGCUUCUCUGGAUUUCGGUCUGGGGAGGAGUGGCGCGCGGGUGAGUAGCGCGUGGGAACCUGCCCUGUUGUGGGGGAUAACCGAGGGAAACUUCGGCUAAUACCGCAUGCGCCCCUGGGCUUGAUCUUCGGAUUGGGUCUGGGGGGAAAGAUUUAUCGCAGCAGGAGGGGCCCGCGUCCGAUUAGGUAGUUGGCGGGGUAACGGCCCACCAAGCCGAUGAUCGGUAGCUGGUCUGAGAGGAUGAUCAGCCACACUGGGACUGAGACACGGCCCAGACUCCUACGGGAGGCAGCAGUGGGGAAUAUUGGACAAUGGGCGCAAGCCUGAUCCAGCAAAUGCCGCGUGAGUGAUGAAGGCCUUAGGGUUGUAAAGCUCUUUCGCCCGCGACGAUGAUGACGGUAGCGGGAGAAGAAGCCCCGGCUAACUUCGUGCCAGCCGCCGCCGUAAG
rnacentral:rRNA from 1 species